UAGAGAUCUGGAGGAAUACCGGUGGCGAAGGCGGCCCCCUGGACAAAGACUGACGCUCAGGUGCGAAAGCGUGGGGAGCAAACAGGAUUAGAUACCCUGGUAGUCCACGCCGUAAACGAUGUCUACUUGGAGGUUGUGCCCUUGAGGCGUGGCUUCCGGAGCUAACGCGUUAAGUAGACCGCCUGGGGAGUACGGCCGCAAGGUUAAAACUCAAAUGAAUUGACGGGGGCCCGCACAAGCGGUGGAGCAUGUGGUUUAAUUCGAUGCAACGCGAAGAACC
rnacentral:rRNA from 1 species